rnacentral:lncRNA from 1 species
CCUCCCUCCUACUGUCUGCUGAGCUGGGGCUUGCAGUGCCUUUUGCAGCUCCUGCUUGGUGCAACACAUAGUUCUUCUGUGGACACUUUGUUUGCAUCCUUCCAUUUUCACAAAAAUUUUUCAGUCCAGUCCUUUCAAUUCAAUCAGUGGUCAUAUGCUCACAAUUACCAAAAGACAUCCAUUCUCAUGUGGCUAAUGCCACUUGUGACUAGUUGAAAUGGUAUGAUUAGCAUUUUUCUCUGCCAAACCUUAUAUUUCUGAAAAAUUCACCACAUUAUUAUCCAUUUCUCCUCUGUCAUUAAUCACAGUGUUCUAUUUCAUGUGAUCAGCCUACUGCAUAUGGGCAUCAAUGACAGAACUACUUUCACUUCGAGCAGUGUGAUUUGUGUAAACUUCAAGAGUAUUCCUGAUGUUCCUGAAAGCUCUCUUGUACAGCUGGAAUUUAUGAAGGGGGCUGCAAUACUCCUUGGCUGAGUCACUGUCCUAGUGCUGAAUCUAAGAAAACUGAAGUGGCCAGUGAGUCCUCCUGAGAAGGACAGGUUUUCAUUAAGCACUCCAGUCUGACUGAAGUUCCUAAAAGCAGUACUGCUGACAGGAGAAAAUCCCUCUUUGUGCUGCCAGAGAGCUCGGUGCUGUGUCGCUGCAGCUCGGCCGGGGAAGGCGGAGGGGAUCGGGGAGCGCGGCUCUGUCCCUGCCGCGUCCGGGGCUCCCGGACCUGCUCCCGGCACAGCCGCGGCACGGAAUGAAGCCUCCCGCACGAACUCAGAUCCCAGAGCUCCUGACAAACCAAAAGUCAUUGUGGCCUUUGCUGAACUUCUUUGCCCUCUCUCCCACACAGAGAGCCUGGGAGCCUGCCCAGUGUGGACUUCACUCAGUGUCACAGGUGACACUUGUCACUGUCCUUUUUUGGUAUAUGGGGGAAAGCAGUCCUCCACCAGUCUGGGAAUGCUUUCCAUUCAAACAGUGGAGACACAAUGAGGAAUGGGCUUCACCUCAGGUUUUUGCCUCAACCAAAGUUUGA